ACGGAAGGCAGCAGUGGGGAAUAUUGGGCAAUGGGCGAAAGCCUGACCCAGCAACGCCGCGUGAAGGAAGAAGGCCUUCGGGUUGUAAACUUCUUUUGUCAGGGACGAAGGACGUGACGGUACCUGACGAAUAAGCAACGGCUAACUACGUGCCAGCAGCCGCGGUAAUACGUAGGUUGCAAGCGUUGUCCGGAUUUACUGGGUGUAAAGGGCGCGUAGGCGGGGAUGCAAGUCAGGUGUGAAAUCUAUGGGCUUAACCCAUAAACUGCAUUUGAAACUGUAUCUCUUGAGUGUCGGAGAGGUAGAUGGAAUUCCUAGUGUAGCGGUGAAAUGCGUAGAUAUUAGGAGGAACACCAGUGGCGAAGGCGAUCUACUGGACGAUAACUGACGCUGAGGCGCGAAAGCGUGGGGAGCAAACAGGGUUAGAUACCCUGGUA
rnacentral:rRNA from 1 species